AUUAAAGAAACCAGUAAACAUCUGGGACUCGAUUUAUUAGCGAAACAAUCGUGGGACGUCGCGUACUUUAAAUCUAAUAAGAGUCUUUUCUAAAUUUUAAUCGGAUUUCCAACUAAUAACAGUAUCAACGCCGUACUUAACUAAAUUCGGGUUGCAGAAGAAAAAUGGGAUUAAAGUUGGCAUUGUUAACAAGUUAGUUUUGAAGGAAAACUUCAGUAACGUUUGUUUCAAGUGGAAAAACUCUGUAAGGAAAGUCAAAAACAAAAAAAAAUUAGUGGCACGAAAAAAAGUUUUAUUUCACGUAUUCAUUAAACAACAAAGUAGAUAGGAAAGUAG